GGCUCUUUGUCUGAAAAAAAUAAAGAGUCAAGCCUGCUCAAUGAUUUUUACAAUUAAAUAGCCGCGGUACCCUGACCGUGCAAAGGUAGCAUAAUCACUUGCCUCUUAAUUGGUGGCUGGCAUGAAAGGUUCAAUGAGAAUAAGACUGUCUCUUUUUUAAUUUAUUGAAACUACCUAUUAGGUGAAAAGGCCUAAAUACUCAUACAAGACAAUAAGACCCUAUCGAGCUUCAGGCCAAAACUCACUACAAAUAGAAUCAAAAAGAAUCUUAGGCCUUUAGUUGGGGCGACUAAGGAACAAACAAAACUUCCUAAAAUAAAAACACCAACAAGUUAUGAUCCGAAGAAAUUCGACAAAAGAAAAAGCUACCGUAGGGAUAACAGCGUAAUUUUCUUUGUGAGCUCUUAUUAAAAAGAAAGUUUGCGACCUCGAUGUUGGAUUAAGGUAUCCUUAAGACGCAGCAGUCUCAAAGGGUUGGUUUGUUCAACCAUUAAAACCUUACAUGAUCUG
rnacentral:rRNA from 1 species